UACGUAGGGAGCAAGCGUUAUCCGGAUUUACUGGGUGUAAAGGGCGCGCAGGCGGGCCGGUAAGUUGGAAGUGAAAUCUAGGGGCUUAACCCCUAAACUGCUUUCAAAACUGCUGGUCUUGAGUGAUGGAGAGGCAGGCGGAAUUCCGUGUGUAGCGGUGAAAUGCGUAGAUAUACGGAGGAACACCAGUGGCGAAGGCGGCCUGCUGGACAUUAACUGACGCUGAGGCGCGAAAGCGUGGGGAGCAAACAGG
rnacentral:rRNA from 1 species